UACAGAGGUCCCGAGCGUUGUUCGGAUUCAUUGGGCGUAAAGGGUGUGUAGGAGGUCUUGUAAGUCGGGCGUGAAAUCUCACCGCUUAACGGUGAAACUGCGUUCGAUACUGCUUGGCUAGAGGAUCGGAGGGGGUAUCGGAAUUCAUGGUGUAGCAGUGAAAUGCGUAGAUAUCAUGAGGAACACCGGUGGCGAAAGCGGAUACCUGGAGGAUUCCUGACUCUGAAACACGAAAGCUAGGGGAGCAAACGGG
rnacentral:rRNA from 1 species